AUAUACCAGUUCCCAACGGAUGAUGACACUAUUGCUAAGGUCAACGCUGCAAUGAAUGGACAGUUGCCGUUUGCUGUUGUGGGAAGUAUGGAUGAGGUAAAAGUCGGAAACAAGAUGGUCAAAGCUCGCCAGUACCCUUGGGGUGUUGUACAAGUGGAAAAUGAAAACCACUGUGACUUUGUAAAGCUGCGGGAAAUGCUCAUUUGUACAAAUAUGGAGGACCUGCGAGAGCAGACCCAUACCAGGCACUAUGAGCUUUACAGGCGCUGCAAACUGGAGGAAAUGGGCUUUACAGAUGUGGGCCCAGAAAACAAGCCAGUCAGCUACAGGCCAAAUUUGAGCACCUUAAGAGACUUCACCAAGAAGAGAGAAUGAAGCUUGAAGAAAAGAGAAGACUUUUGGAAGAAGAAAUAAUUGCUUUCUCUAAAAAGAAAGCUACCUCCGAGAUAUUUCACAGCCAGUCCUUUCUGGCAACAGGCAGCAACCUGAGGAAGGACAAGGACCGUAAGAAGUAAGAGGCCCAGCCACCCU
rnacentral:sRNA from 1 species